GACGAACGCUGGCGGCGUGCUUAACACAUGCAAGUCGAACGGAAAGGCCCUGCUUUUGUGGGGUGCUCGAGUGGCGAACGGGUGUGUAACACGUGAGUAACCUGCCCUUGACUUUGGGAUAACUUCAGGAAACUGGGGCUAAUACCGGAUAGGAGCUCCUGCUGCAUGGUGGGGGUUGGAAAGUUUCGGCGGUUGGGGAUGGACUCGCGGCUUAUCAGCUUGUUGGUGGGGUAGUGGCUUACCAAGGCUUUGACGGGUAGCCGGCCUGAGAGGGUGACCGGCCACAUUGGGACUGAGAGACGGCCCAGACUCCUACGGGAGGCAGCAGUGGGGAAUAUUGCACAAUGGGCGGAAGCCUGAUGCAGCAACGCCGCGUGCGGGAUGACGGCCUUCGGGUUGUAAACCGCUUUCGCCGGUGACGAAGCGUGAGUGACGGUAAUGGGUAAAGAAGCACCGGCUAACUACGUG
rnacentral:rRNA from 1 species